rnacentral:snRNA from 1 species
AUGCUCGCUUUGGCAGCACAUACACUAAAACUGGAACAAUACAGAGAAGAUUAGCAUGGUCCCUGCACAAGGAUGACAUGCAAAUUUGUCAAGCGUUCCAUAUUUUU